rnacentral:rRNA from 1 species
AGUGAACGCUGGCGGCGUGCCUAACACAUGCAAGUCGAACGAGAACGGAUUAUAGCUUGCUAUAAUUGUCAGCUAAGUGGCGCACGGGUGAGUAAUGUAUAGGUAAUAUGCCUCUUACUAAGGGAUAACAAAUGGAAACGUUUGCUAAUACCUUAUACUCCUUAUUAACAGAAGUUAAUAAGGGGAAGAUUUAUUGGUAAGAGAUUAGCCUGUAUUGUAUCAGUUAGUUGGUGGGGUAAUGGCUUACCAAGACUAUGACACAUAACUGGUUUGAGAGGAUGAUCAGUCACACUGGAACUGAGACACGGUCCAGACUCCUACGGGAGGCAGCAGUGGGGAAUAUUGCACAAUGGACGAAAGUCUGAUGCAGCAACGCCGCGUGGAGGAUGACACAUUUCGGUGCGUAAACUCCUUUUAUAUGAGAAGAUAAUGACGGUAUUAUAUGAAUAAGCACCGGCUAACUCCGUGCCAGCCGCCGCUGUAAUAC